AGUGAACGCUGGCGGUAGGCCUAACACAUGCAAGUCGAACGGCAGCACAGUAAGAGCUUGCUCUUACGGGUGGCGAGUGGCGGAUGGGUGAGGAAUACAUCGGAAUCUACUUUUUCGAGGGGGAUAACGUAGGGAAACUUACGCUAAUACCGCAUACGACCUACGGGUGAAAUCAUGGGAUCUUCGGACCUCACGCGAUUGAAUGAGCCGAUGUCGGAUUAGCUAGUUGGCGGGGUAAAGGCCCACCAAGGCGACGAUCCGUAGCUGGUCUGAGAGGGUGAUAAGCCACACUGAAACUGAAACACGGUCCAGACUCCUACGGGAGGCAGCAGUGGGGAAAUUUGGACAAUGGGCGCAAGCCUGAUCCAGCCAGACCGCGUGGGUGAAGAGGGCCUUCGGGUUGUAAAGCCCUUUUGUUGGGAAAGAGAAGCAGCAGGUUAAUACCCCGCUGUUCUGACGGUACCCAAAGAAUAAGCACCGGCUAACUUCGU
rnacentral:rRNA from 1 species